rnacentral:rRNA from 1 species
ACCGAAUUCAGAUAAACUCCGAAUGCCAUGUACUUAUACUCGGGAGUCAGACUGCGAGUGAUAAGAUCCGUAGUCGAAAGGGAAACAGCCCAGACCACCAGUUAAGGUCCCCAAAUAUAUGUUAAGUGGAAAAGGAUGUGGGGUUGCUUAGACAACCAGGAUGUUGGCUUAGAAGCAGCCACCAUUGAAAGAGUGCGUAAUAGCUCACUGGUCGAGUGACCCCGCGCCGAAAAUGUACCGGGGCUAAACAUAUUACCGAAACUGUGGAUGAACCUCUUUAGAGGUUCGUGGUAGGAGAGCGUUCUAAGGGCGGUGAAGUCAGACCGGAAGGACUGGUGGAGCGCUUAGAAGUGAGAAUGCCGGUAUGAGUAGCGAAAGAAGGGUGAGAAUCCCUUCCACCGAAUAUCUAAGGUUUCCUGAGGAAGGCUCGUCCGCUC